CUCGAAUUAACUUUUGUCAGCUCAAGAAGAGGGAUAUUUGUUGUUGUCUUCAUUCCAAACAUGAUUCAACAAUUAUUUGUCCUGGAGAAGGUGUUCUCUGGGAAUUGAGGUGUUUAUCGUGGUGGAGCAAGAAGCGUGAAGGUGGUGGAGAUUUGGAAGUCAAAGCUCCCAGGGCUGUUGAAAAAAGCAAAAGCAGGACCUAGGAAGUGCCAGUGUUCCUCUGUAUCGAUCAAACUGUAUGUGGUAUUAAAAGCCUCUGGGGUAUUGGGGGCGAACAAAUCGAGGGCCUGGUGUCUUGGAAGCGAGAACUGAAGGCGUUUUUUAGUGGAUACAAUCUCAUACCAAGCUGCAUCAAUCCUUGUAUUGCUUAUCAUGUAUGCUUUAUGUUAUGCUUAACAAACUUUUUUUAAGAUUGUUAUGUUAAAACUUACAAAACCUCCAAAGAUUUGACUGUGGGAGUGAGUACCUAUAUUUUAUGAUGUUGUUGAAGGAUCUGUGAUGUGUAAAUUUUGCAGCAUACCUUCAGCAGGGUGUUCUGAGUUUGUGUGAAAGAAAAAAAGAAGUUGUAUGU